GGGCGUUUGGCACAGUGGUAGCGCGUUCGCUUUGCAUGGUCGUUUAGAUUCAGCUUGCGAAAAGUCCAGGGUUCAAUCCCCUGAACGUCCA
rnacentral:tRNA from 2 species